rnacentral:rRNA from 1 species
CCUACGGGAGGCAGCAGUGGGGAAUAUUGGGCAAUGGGCGCAAGCCUGACCCAGCAACGCCGCGUGAAGGAAGAAGGCUUUCGGGUUGUAAACUUCUUUUCUUAGGGACGUAGCAAGUGACGGUACCUGAGGAAUAAGCCACGGCUAACUACGUGCAAGCAGUCGCGGCAAUACGUAGGUGGCAAGCGUUAUCCGGAUUUACUGGGUGUAAAGGGAGUGUAGGGGGGGAGGUAAGUCAGUUGUGAAAGUCACGGGCUCAAGAGGAAAAGUGAAGGUGAAACUGUGUUUCUUGAGUACAGGAGAGGUGGGCGGAAUGCGGGGUGGAGCGGUGAAAGGAGGAGAUAGAAAGAAGAACGCGGAGGGCGAAGGGAGCUUACUGGAGUGGAAAGGAAACGGAGGCUCGAAAGUGGGGGUAUCAAACAGGAUUAGAUAGCCGAGGAGUA